CCUACGGGCGGCAGCAGUGGGGAAUAUUGCACAAUGGGCGCAAGCCUGAUGCAGCCAUGCCGCGUGUGUGAAGAAGGCCUUCGGGUUGUAAAGCACUUUCAGCGGGGAGGAAGGCGUUAAGGUUAAUAACCUUGGCGAUUGACGUUACCCGCAGAAGAAGCACCGGCUAACUCCGUGCCAGCAGCCGCGGCAAUACGGAGGGUGCAAGCGUUAAUCGGAAUUACUGGGCGUAAAGCGCACGCAGGCGGUCUGUCAAGUCGGAUGUGAAAUCCCCGGGCUCAACCUGGGAACUGCAUUCGAAACUGGCAGGCUAGAGUCUUGUAGAGGGGGGUAGAAUUCCAGGUGUAGCGGUGAAAUGCGUAGAGAUCUGGAGGAAUACCGGUGGCGAAGGCGGCCCCCUGGACAAAGACUGACGCUCAGGUGCGAAAGCGUGGGGAGCAAACAGGAUUAGAUACCCGAGUAGUC
rnacentral:rRNA from 1 species